rnacentral:rRNA from 1 species
UACAGAGGUCUCAAGCGUUGUUCGGAUUCAUUGGGCGUAAAGGGUGCGUAGGCGGCGCGGUAAGUCGGGUGUGAAAUCUUGGAGCUUAACUCCGAAACUGCAUUCGAUACUGCCGUGCUUGAGGACUGGAGAGGAGACUGGAAUUUACGGUGUAGCGGUGAAAUGCGUAGAUAUCUGGAGGAACACCGGUGGCGAAGGCGGCAUCCUGGACCAACACUGACGCUGAGGAGCGAAAGCCAGGGGAGCAAACGGG